UCCUCAUAGUAGGUUGACAGGUGAGUCUGACUCUGCCCUCCUCAUCAUAGUAGGUUGACAGGUGAGUCUGACUCUGCCCUCCUCAUCAUAGUAGGUUGACAGGUGAGUCUGACUCUGCCCUCCUCAUCAUAGUAGGUUGACAGGUGAGUCUGACUCUGCCCUCCUCAUCAUAGUAGGUUGACAGGUGAGUCUGACUCUGCCCCCCUCCUCAUCAUAGUAGGUUGACAGGUAAGUUUACCUGUAGCCAGCCCAACCAAGCAACACUAUCUCUAGGCUGUUCUGGUUUCAUUCAGAUUUCUUAAAAAUCAUACGGAAUUCUAUUUACCUGUUGAGCCUCAGAGAAUUUGUCCAAAAAAUAAUGGUGAAAAAACUGAAUCUCUGCUGCCUUCAAAAAGUAUUCGUACUCCUUGACUUAUUCCACAUUUUGUUGUUACAGCUGGAAUUCAAAAUCGAUUAAAUUGAGUGUUUCUCUCUCACCCAUCUACAUACAAUACCCCAUAAUAACAAAGUGAAAAGGUGUUUUUAGAUUUGAUUUCAAAUGUAUUGAAAAUUAAAUAGACAUGUAAAUUACAUAAGUAUUCAUACCCCUUUUCUAUUACACUCCAACUUGAGCUCCGGUGCAUCCAAUUGCCUUUGAUAAUCCUUCAUGUCAUUAAAACUUGAUUGGAGUCCACCUGUGGCCAAUUCAAUUGUUUGGACAUGAUUUAGAAAGAAACUGUUUAUAUAAGGUCCCACAGUUGACAGUACAUGUCAGAGCAGAAACUAUAUCAUGAAGUCCAAGGAACUGUCUGUAGAUCUCCGAGAAUUAUGAUGAGGCAUAUACUCUAUCUUCCCGAGAAAGGGUAUAAAACCAUUUCUAGAGUGUUGAACGUUUCCAAGAGCACAGUAGUUCUCCAUCAUUGGAAAAUGGAAAAAAUAUGGAACUACCAUAUUUGCCUAGAACUGGUCGUCCAACCAAACUGAGCAACCGGGCAAGAAGGAGCUUGGUCAGGGAGGUGACCAAGAACCCAAUGACCACAUUGACAGAAUUACAGAGUUCCUUGGCUGAGUUGUGAGAACCUGCCCGAAGGACAACAGUCUUUACAGCACUUCACCAAUCUGGGCUUUAGGGAGAGUGGCCAGACAGAAGCCACUCCAGAGAAAAAGGCAUCUGUCAGGACGACUGGUGUUGCAAAAAGGCAUGUGAAAGACUGAGAGCAUAAGUCAAAAGAUUCUGUUGUCUCAUGAGACAGAAAACCAGGCACAGCUCAUCACCCAUCUAAUACCAUCCCUACUGUGAAGCAUGGUUGUGGCAGCAUCAUGCUAUGGGGAUGCUUUUCAGUGGCAGGGACUGGGAGACUGGUAAGGAUAGAGGGAACAAUGAAUGGAGCCAUAUACAGGCAAAUCCUUGAUGAGAACCUGCUUCAGAGUGCAAAUGACCUUAGACAAUGACCCCAAGCAUACAGCCCUGGAAUGGCUUCAGGACAAAGUCCUUGAGUCCAGCCAAAGCCCAGACUUGAAUCCGAUUGAUAAACUGUGGAAAGACUUGAAGAUUGCUGUUCACUGCUGCUCCCCUUCUAACUUAAGAGCUUGAGAAAAUCUACAAGGAAAAAUAGGAGAGAAUCCCCAAAUACAGUUUGGCAAAUCUGAUACAGACAUACCGAAGAUGACUCAAAGCUGUAAUCGCCGCCAAAGGUACUUCUACAAAGUAUUGACUCAGGGUUGUGAAUACUUAUUUAAAUGAGUUCUGUAUUUCAUUUUCAAUAAAUUAGCAAAAAUGUAUUAGAACGUGUUUUCACUGUCAUAAUGGAGUGUUGUGUGUAGACGGGUGAGAAAAAGAAUCCAUUUAAUUCAUUUUGAAUUCAGGCUGUAACACAACAAAAUGUGGAAUAAGUCAAGAGGUAUGAAUACUUUCUGAAGACACUAAUGAAUUUUUGGAAUGUAAAGCUUUGUACUCAAUGCUUUGCUGUAUGCAUGGUUAUGAGCUGUGCAUCAUAUCAUGUUGCUUAAUAAGGAUGACCUUAUAUCUGUGAAUAUGAAAAGUUCACUGUUUCCUCUGUCUCUUCUCCCUCAAACUGACUUCAUAUUUCAAUUCCAAAUAUCAAAUCUCACUAUUUCUACUUUCAUAAAUGGUUGCAAUUUCUCUUUAAGCUUAAGUCUCUGGCUGUCUGGAAAAGUAAUUUUUCCAGUGAUGCUAAGUCUAUUUCUUAAAAAAGUUAAGGUUUUAUUUUUCUCAUGCUCUAAAAGCAGUAGCAGACAAGCCCCAUGCGCGCCUCUCAGGAUGGCUCUGUGAAUCAUUUUAUGCAACUGGCCCUGGGGGCUUAGAAAACCUCACUGAGAUAUUUUGCUGGUUAUGUCCUAAAUGACAUACGCUUCCUUACCUAGUACACUAGUUUUGACCACAGCCCAUAGGCUAUGUCUGCUAGGAUGUAAUGAGAACCAUUUAUGAUUGAAUUUUAAUAGCUUCAUAUUUAAAAUUCACUUUCCCACAAUAGGGUAGCUGACUAUCCGUUUAGUCAUAUACUCUAUGGUAAAUAAGAGAUGAAAUAUUCUGGUCCAAGACAUUCAAGGUCCCCUAGUUAAAUAGAUUCUCAGCCAACCCUACCAUGUCUUAUCUUAGAAACAGGGUUUGGCUCCGCUCAGGUCUCUCCUGUCUGUCUGUUCCAGGGUUGGUUAUGGUCAAAUAUGUUUAAAUUCAGAAGUUAAACUGAAAUUGCAGUUCCAAUUGUCCUCAUUACUUUUCAAUGAAGACAUUCAAGGUCCCCUAGUUAAAUUGAUUCUCAGCCAACCCUACCAUGUCUUAUCUUAGAAACAGCGUUUGGCUCCGCUCAGGUCUCUCCUGUCUUCUGUCUGUCUGCUCCAGGUGUAACGGUUUUCUUCAUCUGAAGGAGAAGCGGACCAAAAUGCAGCGUGGUUUCUUUGAUUCAUGUUUAAUAACAAAAAGAUAAACACGAACACUACAAAAACAAUAAACGUGGAAAACCAAAAAACAGCCCUGUCUGGUGCAAAACACAGAGACAGGAACAAUCACCCACAAACACACAGUGAAACCCAGGC
ensembl:lncRNA